GGCACUGCCCAGUGGCGUGCUUACCUUGACCCCCAUGGCGCGAGUCGGAACCCGGAAGAACAUGCAACAGAGUAAGUUCUCAGCGGGAGCAGGACGACAUGGAUGUGAUUCGUCGCAUUCACCUCCCUGGUGUCGUUCCCCAAUUUUUUAUCUAAUGGCCGGCGAGCUCCUCGUGUGGCUAUGGAUUGGCGUCCUUGCCACCACUGACGAAACCUCCACUGGGAGCGCCCUGGCCACCCACACACGACAGUGGUAGGUGGCCGCCGUGACCACCUCGCUGGUCCAAGACACGGCGCCGCCGUAACCACUACUUAAUGGUGCUGCACUUAGGCAAGCCGCAUCAGCGGUGGCACGGGGAUAGCGCGGUGGCAUUCCCGAGUGCCAUGGCCCCUAGGAGAGGAGAUGACGCCGUUGCCGACAACCACGAGAGGGCCGCGAGGCUCCUGGAGGGCAGGUGCGAGGAAGCGUACACGACGGAGAAGGAGACGUGCCGCCUCCUCCACAAGCUAGCUGAUACGAGCUGAACCAUGGCUGGCAAUAUCAUGUCGGAGGUGAACAAUGAAGUGAAGGAGGGGUAUCUGAAGCUCAAGGCUGCACUUAUGUACCCAUUCAAUCCACAGAAUUUCCCUAAUUCUCUUUGGUAUUUUAAGGUUACUGUCUUGAUCUUCUCUUCUUGACUGCAAACAUGUGUUUAUGAAUCCUAUUGAUAUAGCUUGCGCAUCAGAUAUAUGGUGGCAAAAAACAAAGACUCCAUACUAAUUAUCAUAGAUAUUUUCAACGCACUCUUCUUUCCAUUGUGGUUAAUUACCAUGAUCUAAAUUGUAUCUGAUAGAACAUGACUCAGAGAUACAUUUAUUACAGAUAACAGACUGCAAAUUGGAGGUUGAUGCUGCAGAUCAGUGUUGUUUAUUAGUAUGAUUUAUUUGUUAGCUGUUGACAUAUCAACUGUCAAAACAUGAAUAAGUGCAGUCUUUCAAUGUGUCACAGUUCAGCAUUGUAUUUCAGUUCAUGUUCUGCUUACUUAUAGUAUCAUUUAGUAGUAUUUGUGAACAUAGAAGUUUCUCUCCAGAGAGUUAGUUCAUUGCCACUACUGGGGAUAUCUGAAUAAUUUCUCACAAUCAUGGAAUGUGUUGCCAUGGAUGUUUUACGGAUGGUUCUAAGUGACGCGGCUGCUCGAAGGAAAAAAGAAGUUAACCUGGUGAAUUGAGCUUACAUGUCCCGAGAAGCACAAACUUACCACAAAUUGUCAACAGAGACAGCUUGCGUCAGGUUCAUGAGUCCAUAAUACUAUUCUUAAGGAUGAGGGAGAUUAAGCACAAGUGUGCAAACCUCUAGCACUCUAGCUGAGCAGUAAGUUUGCUGUCAUCGUUGUUCCUUCUAGGUGACUGCCCAAUAGACCAGGUUAAUUUCUUCCACAUGUUCCCUCUAGGGCCGGUUCCCUCCUCUUCCUUGCUGCCGCAUGUGUGAAGCGGAGCAUCCAUCAAAGCAAAGCAGCGCGCGGGCGGUGAGGCGGUGUCACAGCGCCAGUCAAAGGGUGAGGAGGGCCUGCCCCGUUGCCGAGGUGCCGCGGGCCCCAUCGUUCCAGAAUCCUCUCUUGGGUCGAGCAGCCGGAUUCCGACUGCGAGCCGCAGCACGGCUAUCGAGCUCCGCGGCCCAGAGUUUUUGGACAAAAGGAACAAUGCCUUUUACCCAAGUGAAGCUCUCGCGCUCAAAUAAAAACAAAUCAGCGAAAGUGUCCUGUAGCUCCCGGGUGGGAUCUGGGGCUAGAAACAUGUCACUGAACUCACUUACAUCAUAACCGGUUGGCAAAGAAAUUGGGACCUCCCUCAUAUAAAAGUCCACAUUUUGCUUAUUUCAGAAAGCACGGGUUCUUUAUUAUCACCCGAAAUUCUAUACACUUUUAAAAGGUUGACAAUUUACCGCGAGCUCUUCCCCCGCGCAUCUGCUGCCGCUUCCGCUAUCACUGCAACCUGCUUCUCUAUUUAUGUCAGGUUGUGGUCGCGUUCUUCUUCAUUCCGCUGAUUGGUUUUUGUAUGAUACAUAUGCAACUGAUUGAUGCCAUGGCCGAUGGAUGCUCCUCUUGUUGAAUACAUGGGCUGUGUCCCCCUCUGAUUAAACUUCCUCAUCUCCAUUUGGAAGAUAUCCAGUGAUGUUGGUGAAGGGUGGUCCUCUUAUUUCGUACUACUGGUCAAUGUUAACUUCUCCAUCACCAUUUGGAAGAUGUACAUCUAGUGUUACUGUUGGUGGAAUGGUGGUCCUCUUAUUUCUUGCUAUUGGUCAAUGUUCAUCUGGAUGGGCAACACACUGUGUCUUCUUUUGGUCUGCAUGGUAGACCUUCAUGGCUAUGGUUAUGGCGCACUACUAACAAUUGAUAUGGAUUCUCAAAAGAGGGGAUUUGUCUAGCUAACUGGCAAUUUAAUUGUGCUACAGUAUAUUUCUAUAUUCCUUUUUGUUUGAUGCAAUAAUCUUAUAUGUUCAACUCUAUGUUCUUCACAACUUAGGAGAAGAAUAAGUACAUAUUUGCACUACUUUUACUUGUCCGUUCUUAUAGUUAUAUGCCCCUGUUAUUCAAAAAUAUGAAUUCUAUCAUAGAUAGAUAAAUGAACAAGGGACCAUUUAGGUUGGCUUAAAUGGUUCUUUUAGAGAUUCCGUGUUAUUGCUAAUUGUGGUAAUUUUUUUUUUGAUAAAUCAACCCACAAUUUUUUAUUUCGCUGGCUAAUUGAUGAAAUUUGAUACAAAAUGGUGCUUUGGUGUACUGGAGUUCUGUGUGUGGAACAAGCAAGCAGGUUUUGUUUUGAAGAAUUCAAGAUUAGUUUCAUGAUGCAUAUGGUUGGAUAAUUUUGAUUGAGAUAGAUUCAUGUAGUACUGUUAGGUUCAGACUUACUGAUAGACAUACACAUGUACCUUGGUCUCUUGCUUUUCACAUGGUAUGUAAUUAGCAUAUUGUUAUCUUAUACUAUAUUUGUUGUCAUGAUAUUGCACGAUAGACUAUUGAAAAAGUAUAAGGUAAAGCGAUAACAUGAUUCCCCCGAUUCAUUGAACCUGUUAUCUUACCAGACAUCCUACUUUAUAUUCUGAUAUUCUCUUCGGAGGUGUACAAUGGUUAUAGUUUUUAUAAAUGGUAUGAGAUUAACAUAGAUAUUCAACCACUGAACUUUUAUUUCCCAUCUUCUAUUUACGUGAAUAAUAUACUGAGUUCUAGCUCAAAGCCUGAAACCAAUCUAACAAAGAUAAACAGAUUAUAGUGCAUUGAAACUGCAAUCAAAUCUCCUAUUUACGUUUUGAUCUUUCACGCUAUUUAACUGAACAAGAAAGCCUACACACAGAAUGGUUCCGAACGGUGAGCUAUCGCUACUCCCAAAUUUGAGUAAACUGAACUACACGUAGAACAUUUAAUUUCAGAUGCUAACCUGUUCUGGAUAGAUUACACAUGCUGUUAUUUAUCUCAAUAAGUGAUAGUAUUUCUAGCAUUUUUUAUAUGUAUCAGGCUAAUUGAUAAAUUACCAAAAAAACAGUGAUUAGUAUAUAUCAGUGCAUGCAAAUUUAGUAAAUAGAGGCACUGUAACUGGAACUACAAACAAUGGGAUACCUCUAGAUGAUUUUGAAUGUAUGAAUCAAGGUCUUCACCAGCUUUUAGUAAAUAGAGGCACCGUAUGAUUAAGUUUUAUCUUUGCAUCCACUUGUUCCUGUUCUAUUCUGUUUUGGCCUUUUUCCAACGGUAACGUAAUAUUGUUGUCGAGAAUAGUAGGAAACCAAUCUGAUUUACUAUUUCCCUUUUUCUUGCGGGAAGUUCCCAUGUGGAUCUGUUCUUGAGCAACCAGGAACAAAAUGGCUGUAUGGGCAAGCUUUCCAUCUUUUAUGUAAUUCGAGAGCUCAGCCUUGUGGUGUCCAAAAAGAUCUUCUGCAAAACCACCAAGAUAGAGCAAGAACUGAGUACUCUUAGAUUUUAUAGGUAAGUGGUAGUUCUGAACGUAAAACACUGUUCUCACUUCCAACCAAAAGAAAAAACACAUUUUGAUUUUUUUAGCAAGUUGAAGAUGUUCUCUUAACGAGACUAAAAUAAUCGUCAGAUCUAGCACAAAGAAAAUCCUUACUUUGAUAAGUAUUGGUGGUAAAAUGAAGGAAAGUUAUGGACAUAUAUUGUGUUACUUUCUGAAAAUUGUUGCAGUGCUCACCGAAAUUGACCUAACUGUUGUUUGGUUGAUCAGUUUGUCAUUUUCAGGCCAUCAUAUUUGUACACACAUGAUGUUCUUGAUCCGUGUGUUUCUAGGUGUUAAUUGAUAUCUUCUAUAUGCAAAAUCCUGCACUCCUCAUUUGGUUGUGAUACCUCUCUUCGAAUGUCUCUUUAGUACACUAUGAUAGUUGGAAUUGCAUUCUCGAAUUUCUCGCUAACAGAAUUAAUAAGCUUUCAGAUUCGUGCAUCAAAGUAUUCUUUGUUUUUUUUUGCAUUUUACUCCCCCUGUGUAGUUAGCUCUGCUUUUCCAUAUUAUUCUUUGAAUCCCGAUUUAUUUAGUUAAAUCUGAACUACAUACUUGAAUGACUUUCUCCUAUAAAGAAAGGGAAAUGUAUCGAGCUUAACCUUUAGUAUCGAGAUGACUUUCUCUAUUGAGAUGUACCGAGAAAGAGCUAAAAGAUACUUGCAAUAGAUGAAAAUGGUGUAGCAGGUUCGUAUGGAAGAAGCAUUGUAUACUAAGAAGUACUUGACCAUCUGUAGAAAUAUACACUACAAAUGGUUUCAUGUACAUACAAUGCUAUCUCCACUCCCAGUAUAUCUAUGUUGAAUAUCCAGUUGAUUACUAAAUGCUUUAUGCUUUUUCAAUUUCAGGUUGUAUUUCACACCAAUGUGAUCAGGUGAUCAUUAUUUUGUUCUCCUAUCCAUGUUUAUCGUACACUGAAGGUUUUUCCAAUGCCAACGGUUGGCAUGUGAACUUAUUUGUGGUUCAUGUGAAGCUGGUACUAGAAGGCACAUAUAAUUUGUACUAUGAACUGGGGCCUUCUACAAUAUUUCAUUCUGUUUGAGUACAUGUUUCUCUAGAGUUGUUACAUGCAGUCACAUGUAUGCUCUGUGCACUCAGUUAAUUGAUGUUGUUUUUGC